rnacentral:rRNA from 1 species
AGAGUUUGAUCAUGGCUCAGGACGAACGCUGGCGGCAUGCCUAACACAUGCAAGUCGAACGGAGGCAGAAACGCCUUAGUGGCGAACGGGUGAGUAACACGUGAGUAACCUGCCCUGUACACCGGGAUAACACCUGGAAACGGGUGCUAAUACCGGAUAAGACCACACUGGGACAUCCCAGAGGGGUCAAAGCGAAUUAGCGGUACGGGAUGGGCUCGCGUCCAAUUAGCUAGUUGGUGAGGUAACGGCCCACCAAGGCGACGAUUGGUAGCCGAAUUGAGAGAUUGAUCGGCCACAUUGGAACUGAGAUACGGUCCAAACUCCUACGGGAGGCAGCAGUGGGGAAUAUUGGGCAAUGGAGGAAACUCUUACCCAGCAAUGCCGCGUGAGUGAAGAAGGUCUUCGGAUUGUAAAGCUCUUUGAUUGGGGACGAACAAAUGACGGUACCCAAGGAACAAGCCCCGGCUAACUAUGUGCCAGCAGCCGCGGUAAUACAUAGGGGGCGAGCGUUGUCCGGAAUGACUGGGCGUAAAGGGUGUGUAGGCGGUUUGGCAAGUUGGAAGUGUAAUACCUAGGGCUUAACUCAGGUGCUGCUUCCAAAACUAUCAGACUUGAGUGUCGGAGAGGAAAAUGGAAUUCCUAGUGUAGCGGUGGAAUGCGUAGAUAUUAGGAGGAACACCGGAGGCGAAAGCGAUUUUCUGGACGACAACUGACGCUGAGGCACGAAAGCGUGGGGAGCAAACAGGAUUAGAUACCCUAGUAGUCC